ensembl:lncRNA
CCUGCUCAACUAAGCUUGGAAAAUAAAUAAAAAACCGAUGGAAAUUAUUUAAAAACAUAGGUAAUUAUAGUAAUAAAAGAACCAAGCACAGUGCUGUGCUACUAACCAUUAACAUUUACAUAAAUAUUUAUGUUUUAUGUGGGUGUUUUAGGUGUGUGUGUCUGUUUAAAUAGUGAGUGUAUGUGUGAACAGUUGAGUCAGUUUGUGGGUGCUCAGACAGGUCAAGUGUUCAGUAGAGUCAGUGUGUUGGUGUUCAGACAGGUAAAGUGUUCAGGAGAGUGAGAUUGUAGGUGGUCAGAAAGAUCAAGUGUUCAGCAGAGUCAGUAUGUGGGUGGUCAGACAGGUCAAGUGUUCAUCAGAGUCAGUAUGUGGGUGGUCAGACAGGUCAAGUGUUCAUCAGAGUCAGUAUGUGGGUGGUCAGACAGGUCAAGUGUUCAGCAGAGUCAGUAUGUGGGUGGUCAGACAAGUCAAGUGUUGAGCAGAGUCAGUGUGUGGAUGUUCAGGCAGGUGAAGUGUUCUGAGUCUGUUAGUAUGAGAACCUAUACUUCUAUACAGACCACCUCUGAUGGAUGGUUGGACAAUUAACACUGCAUGACCAGGGAGUGAAGGGUAUUUGAUAAUGCUACAGCCUUUCAUCAGGUCAUAAUUUUAGAUAGAUGUUCUGGGUGGGUGGGAGCACAGACUUAAGUGAUUUCUUGGGCUGCCUUUACCCAUUGAAGAUUUGGAUAAAUUCACAUACCAGCCAGUGAUGCAGUGUGUUUACUCCUGUUUUGGGGGUUGACCUGGGCUGGGGGGUGAACAGGACAUCCCAAUAGCUUUGAGUGAGUCAGCUGAAAAGCUGUGGGACCAGAGCAACUUUCAGUGCAAGAAAAGUCAUUCUCAACUCUCUCCACUAGGAGGCAUUACUUUCCUACAAAACAGUCUCAAUCAGUUCAUGUAGCGCUAUGAAUAUUGGAAACAAUACUUUUGAACAAUAUUUAACAUAUAUAAAAAAAACACAGUUACAAAAAC